UUUGUUUGUGCUUUUUUGUGUUCUCUUCUGGCUUGCUCUUCGGUGCUUUGUUGUUGCAGGUGGAUGCUGGGUCCUGGUUGCUGCGCGGUCAUUCACGUGGACCUCUAUGUGCGAUGGUUCCUUCUUCGCUCAUGUUUCGUCCGUUGGGCUGUUGGAGUGCCUUCCCUUUCUGGGUUUUUUUCGCUUUUUUCUUUGUUUUCUUUGUCUCUGGUUGGGUGAGCUGGGCCUCCUAGGGGUGAUGGUUCGGCCGGAGCCUUUGAGGGGGCCCACCCGCUCACUGCCAGUUUAUUUGUUGUUCUUAGACUGACACUCUUUUUCCUCUUUUUCUUGAAGAGGUUUUAACGAGGCCCGGCCCUCAGUUGCGUCUGUGCUCUCUUGGGUCUAGGUUUUUUCUUUCUCUUUUUUAAUAAAACCACAUUGUUCAGCAGUUUAUAUAUAUA
rnacentral:lncRNA from 1 species